GUCCCUUCUAACUUUGUCCCAGAAAAAUCUCCAGGGAAAUGAAAUCAAGCGGUUUUCCAGAUUCACUUUUCAAAAUUAGUCCUGGGCUGGCCUUCAACAAGGCAAACACAUUCUGUGCAGUUACGGGAGAGAACAGCACAGCAUUCCUGGACCAAGACUUAGAGCCAGAAGCCAGACAUGCUGAUCAAGCUGAAGACAGAGUCACCUCUUCAAUGAAGUUCGCCAUGAGUCAUCCAAGAAGAGCUACCUCAACACUCUGAUUCCAAAACCCAUCCUAUAAAGAUCAACAUCAUACCACAUUGACUUGUGGGGCUCAUAAACAACUGAAGAAAUACACAGACACGUACACCAGGAUUAGCCAAACUGUAGUGGGUGCUGUACUGGGAGUUCAAAGACUACGCAGCGGAGGAGAAAGGAUCUGAAGACAAGGAGAAAGAGAAGGAAGGAGUGAGAAGGAUGGAACAAGGGCAUUGCAGGAGGGUGCUCAAAUCCUCAUCACAACAAUGUUCAUUGAAGCCUUACAGUCUUCAAGGAAACCUUCAGACUUUCCUUUGUGCAAACAUCCUUCUGAGCUUGGCUCCAAUCCUCCUCCACCUCGACAUCCAGGUCUCUCCCGUGUGUAUGAUAUACAAGAGCCACAGUCUACUGCACGCUGCUCCCGUCUCUGCACCAGGGAUCCGAGCUCCCAAACUUUCGGGCUUCUGCAUAUGCUGUAGUUUCCUUGGGAGUAGCAUCCCACCCACCUUUCAUCUGCCUAAUUCCUACUCAUCCUUAAUGCUUCCCUUGGGAUUUCCCCACAGAGUGGAAUUCAGAAGGCGGCCCUGCUAUGCCAUCACCUCCUCCCGCAGCCCCCUGCAUGGUUGCUGUUGGCUUCUUUCUGUCCCCCUAGAGAGUUUCUGCCUCCUUGAAGGCGAACUCCUUGUUUAGCCCCCACCCACCUCUUCCCACUUCCCAGGCGCUGUCUGUGUCCAACCUACAGUGAAGACAUUAAUAGGCAAUUAGAC
rnacentral:lncRNA from 1 species